AUUGAACGCUGGCGGCAGGCUUAACACAUGCAAGUCGAACGGUAACAUAAAGAAGCUUGCUUCUUUGAUGACGAGUGGCGGACGGGUGAGUAAUGCUUGGGAAUCUAGCUUAUGGAGGGGGAUAACUACGGGAAACUGUAGCUAAUACCGCGUAAUAUCGAAAGAUUAAAGUGUGGGACCUUCGGGCCACAUACCAUAGGAUGAGCCCAAGUGGGAUUAGGUAGUUGGUGAGGUAAAGGCUCACCAAUCCGACGAUCUCUAGCUGGUCUGAGAGGAUGCCCAGCCACACUGGGACUGAGACACGGCCCAGACUCCUACGGGAGGCACCAUAAUAUUGCGCAAUGGGGGCAACCCUGACGCAGCCAUGCCGCGUGAAUGAAGAAGGCCUUCGGGUUGUAAAGUUCUUUCGGUAGCGAGGAAGGCAUUU
rnacentral:rRNA from 1 species